UACGUAGGGGGCUAGCGUUGUCCGGAUUUAUUGGGCGUAAAGAGCGUGUAGGCGGUCAGAUAGGUCAGCUGUGAAAACUCGAGGCUCAACCUCGAGAUGUCGGCUGAAACCAUCUGGCUAGAGUCCGGAAGAGGAGAAUGGAAUUCCCGGUGUAGCGGUGAAAUGCGCAGAUAUCGGGAAGAACACCCGUGGCGAAGGCGGUUCGCUGGGACGGUACUGACGCUGAGACGCGAAAGCGUGGGGAGCGAACAGG
rnacentral:rRNA from 1 species